rnacentral:rRNA from 1 species
GACGAACGCUGGCGGCGUGCUUAACACAUGCAAGUCGAACGGAAAGGCCCUGCUUUUGUGGGGUGCUCGAGUGGCGAACGGGUGAGUAACACGUGAGUAACCUGCCCUUGACUUUGGGAUAACUUCAGGAAACUGGGGCUAAUACCGGAUAGGAGCUCCUGCUGCAUGGUGGGGGUUGGAAAGUUUCGGCGGUUGGGGAUGGACUCGCGGCUUAUCAGCUUGUUGGUGGGGUAGUGGCUUACCAAGGCUUUGACGGGUAGCCGGCCUGAGGGGGUGGCCGGCCACAUUGGGACUGAGAUACGGCCCAGACUCCUACGGGAGGCAGCAGUGGGGAAUAUUGCACAAUGGGCGGAAGCCUGAUGCAGCAACGCCGCGUGCGGGAUGACGGCCUUCGGGUUGUAAACCGCUUUCGCCUGUGACGAAGCGUGAGUGACGGUAAUGGGUAAAGAAGCACCGGCUAACUACGUG